rnacentral:miRNA from 1 species
CACGGCACCGCAGGCCCCGCC